rnacentral:rRNA from 1 species
AGUGUGACACUUAGUGGUCAAAAAGAUGUGGUGAGUUGGACUUUGAUAGGUAGUGGUAAAUACACAGUUAAGUCUUGUUAUAGACAUUUGGUACAAAAUGGGAUCAAAUAUCCACAUAAAUUACUCUGGAAAGUUGAAAUGCCUCCUCGGGUCAAAGUGUUCAUCUGGCUUGUGCUGAGGGGGAGUAUCCUUAGUAAAGAUAAUCUUGUUAAAAGUGGGUGGCUGGGUCAUAGCAACUCCUCUUUUUAUGGACGAGGAGAAGACAUUAAUCAUCUCUUUUUCCAUUGUUCUAUUGCUAAAAUGUUGUGGAUGGUUAUGAAAUGUUUUUUUUGGUAUGACUGA